CCCACUUUUUCUUCCCACACAUAUUCGCACUGCAAUUUUGCUCGCCCGCCUCUAUUUUUCAGUUGACCUCUCUCUCUCGUUGUGCAUCUCUUCCCUCUUUUUGAAGUUUGCUAUGAAAACCCACGAGAUUGAGCUGAGAAAAGAAAACAAAGAAACAAAAAAAACUCUCCCAAAACCUGUCUCUCUCGUCCUCCCUCUCAAUCCAUCAUAGCAAACAUCGAAAUUCCCCUACCCGUGUAAUCGUCGGAUCUUCCACCUUCGAAUUUCCGAUGGCGUUUCCCUACACAAACCUCACGCUCUCUCUCUCUCUACCCUCUCCCGCGCCCUCUCCGACUUCUCUCCUGUCGACAACGUCUUCGACUACGGCUCCAACGUGGACUCCACCUUCGACGAUGGCGGCCACUUCAUUCUGGACUCGUCCAUUUCAGAUCGCUCAAUUUCACUCUGAAACCAAAACCCCAAUCCCGAUUCCCCCCAAAUUUACCAAACCGCUAGGGUUUUCCAGCGGUCAUCCAGUAUGAGUUCCAGAUCCGCGAGCCGGGGACCCACAUGGUACGACUCCAUUUCCAGGGCUUCAAUUCUUGUAAUUUUGAUUGAAAUAAUGCUCAGUUUCAUGUAUAUAUCAAUGGGUUUGUGGUUUUGUAAGUCAGUAACUUUGGAUUUGGGGGUGUUAUUGGGUCUGGAUCGAGGAUCGAAUAAUUCAGGUACCCAAUGUAUCACUGUUUCAUGAUCGAGGAAGAAGUGGAGCUUGUGUGGCCACUAAUUGACAUAAAAAAGACUGGACAAGUCGAUAGGAAAACUCUAACAAAGUGGGUGGUAAGACAUUUAUCUUAUUAUGUCUCUUGACUUCCAGAAGUUGUAGUUCUUAUUUUUCUUAUGGAGGACUUUUGUUUUGUUUCUGUAGCAUGUAAUUUAUACAUUGAUCACAUCUUUCAAUCUAAAAGCAAAUAUAGCAGGGCAGUUAUUCAUGAAGGAAUUCCUUGUUAUGUAUGCACAUGGAGAAAUACUUAAAUUUGUACUUGAUGGAAUUUUGUUUGAUAAACCUAUCACAAUAACUGCAAGAAUAAAAAGUGAAGAAAGAAAUGAAAGAAGGAUUCCAAAACAUCCUGGUUAUUAUCACCACUGUAGUGUGGCUUCUGUUGGUGGAAAUUGCAACUACAAAAGUACUUGUCUUCCUCUCAUCACAGCUCGUAGUGGCAGCUAGUAGCUAGUUAUCAUGGUUCUAUGACUUCUAUAUAUUAUCUUGUGCUUUUUCCAAAGAAAGACAAGUCUAUUGUUUUGUUCUUAUGAACAAUGAAAUACUUUCUCUACAGUAUAAGCAGCUUGUCUAUUUUAUUCUCUUCUUUAGUUUAGUAAGUAUAGAAGAUAUUGGCACAUUGGAAAGAUAUCAAUUUUACGAAACUGCAUGCCCUCCUUAAUUAAUUAGAACAUGAUGCAUAAAGUUCCUUAUUUUAGAAAAGAGAUUGCAUGAUGCAUACGAGAAACUCUAAAAGACAGGUAUCCCACUAGCAUCAAAGCAAGUGAAUUAUAGUCUCAUAUACAAGGCACUAGAGGAGAAUGGAGAUAAGGCUACAUGUGACGAACUUGGGAUCACUUCGAUUGCCUAUUCACCUAUUGCUCAAGGUACAGUGUGAAUUUUUGAUGUUUUGCAUUCCUUUUAGUAAUGCCUUUUCUGACAUGUUGCUGCAAGAAUAUAAGGAGAACCCAGAUUAUGCACGUUGUGUUGCUAUUGUAGCAUCUGCAUCUUUGAGGGAGAUGAUAAAACCUGGUGCCUUGGCUAUUAUUUCACCUAUAGCAGUUGGUAUUGCGUUCUGAAUAUUUGGAUACUAUCCGGAGGCAAAGGAAGUGAUUGUCAUAAGGGUGCAAUUACAGGAGACAUAGUGGGAGACCCAUUCAAAGACACAGCUGGACCGUCACUUCAUGUCCUUAUUAAAAUGCUUGCUACAAAAAUGGUGGUCAUGGCUCCUGUCUUUCUCUGAGUAGUUUAUAACAAUUCCGGGAUGGAAUGACUUUGUUGAAUAUAUGGAUGAAUGUAUCAGAUCUUUACAUAAAUGAAUCUCUUUUGAAUGUGUUCUCAUUUGGAUUCCAUAUAUGCAAAAUGUAGGCCAUUUGAAU